UGGCAUGAGUGCUCGCAGACUGAUCCCUCUUGUUCACAGAUAGAUGCCGGAGCAAAUUUAAGAGUCGACGUUGGAGAUGCUCUAACAAGGUAAAUUAAUCUCUAACAAGGUAAAUUAAAAGCACCAGUUUGGCUUCCUCCAACUACUACAACAACAAUGUAAUACAGAAAAGAAAUACUCGUCAUCUGACAACACGAAGCAAAUUUUACUAAAGAUACAUUCCCAAGAACCAUCCCCAUCUCUUCAGCCGCCGACCGGAGAACUUUAUUGUAGCGAUCUUCAAAUCAUCAUGCCGCCAGAGAGAAAGCCUAUGAGUAAACUAGGGUAAUGCCGCCACGGGGCCUGGAACACUCGG
rnacentral:lncRNA from 1 species